GGGGGUAUAGGUCAGUGGUAGAGCGUGUGCUUGGCACGCACGAGGUUCUGGGUUCAAUCCCCAGUCCCUCUG
rfam:Camelus ferus unplaced genomic scaffold scaffold51476, whole genome shotgun sequence.